UAGCAUUCUGCCUAGCAACCAACUCCACCCAGCAACAAAAGUCUUCUUGACAAUGUGAUCCAAACCUUGCAGACUAAAAGAAUGAUGACAGGCCCAGUGAUUUAUCAGAUCAUUCAGGGAGCCCUCAACCAGAGAAGAGCAGGUCCUGGACUCCAUGGGCUAUCUGCCGUCCCAGUGUCCAGGGGAAACAAGGCAAUGUGACCACGGCUUCUUGAAGCUGCUAUUGGACUGAAGGAACAAAACGAUGUCAUCAUUCAUAGAGAAGGAUAGUUCUCUGCAUUUGCUGUGUUGGAAUCUGUGCAAGUUAUCUUAAAAUGUCCUUCAGGCUGGCAUUAAGAAUGUAACAAGGAAAUGAACACAGUCUCUGCAUGUCUGAUCUCCACACUUAACUGUUAAUACUGAUUACAACACUGGGAUAAAGACCACUAGAUACCAGUUCUGCUGGGGGAGGAAGGAAGACCUUAUGGAAAGGAAACGAUCUGACCUCAGUUGUAAAGAAUAACAGGGUUGCCAAGCAGGCAAGACAGGAAAAAUCAAGGGAGGAAAGAAACAAUAUACUUAAAGGCACCGGGGAAUAAAAGCACAUGUAUGAGACUAUGGGGACACGACAAUUCAAUGCGAUAUGGGAUCUUGGAAUGGAUCCUGGAGCAGAAAAAUGACAUUUGUGGAAAACUUAUUGUGAAAUCCAAAUAAAUUCUGUGUUAACAGU